CAAGUUUUUCUUUGAUUUUACUUAUUUUCCCCUACUUUUCUUCUCUUUUUUGGCUUUAUUUUGGACACAUGUUUUUCAACAUCUUGUUGUAACGGCGUGUUGUUCGCUGAGCCGGCAGCCCUUGCCGAUGUAGGACUCCAUCGAAUCGAUCCGGAUAAAGGAUGGAUGUUGUGCAGUAGAGAUCUCGAAAUCGACUUUUGAUUAUGCAUACGAAAAAAUCGGCUAUUAGAUUUCCAAAUAAUCGAUUUAGAUAUUUUAAUGUCGAUAUUUUGGAAGACGUUUUAUUAUAUGGAGUUUGACAGCAUUCCGACUGAAAAGCUGAACAGAAUACUCAGCUUAACGUUGAAAAAACAAAACAAAAAAAAAGUAUUGCCAUUAUGGGUUAAUUAACGUAAUUGAGGAGAUUUAGGGUUGGUAUUCUAUUCUGUUUUCGGAAUAGCCGCUGAAAUUUGUAAUUGUUUCGUGAGCGAAAUUUAACAGCAAUUAAAUGUUUUUAUCUCCAUACCAAAACACGUUUCUUUAUCUGCA